GGUAAAAUGGCUGAGUAAAGCAUUAGACUGUAAAUCUAAGGACGAAGUAUGAAUGCUUCUUUUACCA
rnacentral:tRNA from 1 species